rnacentral:rRNA from 1 species
AGCGAACGCUGGCGGCAGGCCUAACACAUGCAAGUCGAACGAUCCUUCGGGAUAGUGGCGGACGGGUGAGUAACACGUGGGAACGUACCUUUAGGUUCGGGAUAACUCAGGGAAACUUGAGCUAAUACCGGAUAAGCCCUUUUGGGGAAAGAUUUAUCGCCUUUAGAGCGGCCCGCGUUAGAUUAGCUAGUUGGUGAGGUAAAGGCACACCAAGGCUCCGUUCUAUAGCUGGUCUGAGAGGAUGAUCAGACACACUGGGACUGAGACACGGCCCAGACUCCUACGGGAGGCAGCAGUGGGGAAUCUUGCGCAAUGGGCGAAAGCCUGACGCAGCCAUGCCGCGUGAAUGAUGAAGGUCUUAGGAUUGUAAAAUUCUUUUAGCAGGGACGAUAAUGACGGUACCUGCAGAAAAAGCCCCGGCUAACUUCGUGCCAGCAGCCGCCGUAAGAC